rnacentral:rRNA from 1 species
UACGGGGGGGGCAAGCGUUGUUCGGAAUUACUGGGCGUAAAGGGCUCGUAGGCGGCCAACUAAGUCGGACGUGAAAUCCCUCGGCUUAACCGGGGAACUGCGUCCGAUACUGGAUGGCUUGAGUUCGGGAGAGGGAUGCGGAAUUCCAGGUGUAGCGGUGAAAUGCGUAGAUAUCUGGAGGAACACCGGUGGCGAAGGCGGCAUCCUGGACCGACACUGACGCUGAGGAGCGAAAGCCAGGGGGAGCAAACGGGG